UACGUAGGAUGCAAGCGUUGUCCGGAAUUAUUGGGCGUAAAGAGCGCGCAGGCGGUAUGACAAGUCAGAUGUGAAAGAGGCCGGCUUAACCGGCAAGGGUCAUUUGAAACUGUCAGACUAGAGUGCAGCAGAGGAUAGUGGAAUUCCCGGUGUAGUGGUGAAAUGCGUAGAUAUCGGGAGGAACACCAGUGGCGAAGGCGGCGACCUGGGCCAAUACUGACGCUGAGGUGCGAAAGCGUGGGGAGCAAACAGG
rnacentral:rRNA from 1 species